CGACCCUCUCUGCUCUUCCCCAGCCUGCGCUGCUCCAGCUCCACGUGCGCCCGGGGAUGCAAUGCAGCCCUGCAGACAAGCGUCUCCGGCAGGACGUGGGCCGCGGGUCUCGGAGCCUCCUUCACUUAGGUACAAACAAUCGUCGCCGCAGGGGCCGGACCCCAGUCCGAGCUCCGAGGUGCGGUGAGCAGCCACCCCACUAAAGGGGGCGUGUGAGGAUGGCGGAAAGCGGCAGGGAGGUGGGCGGGGCUGCAACACCUGGGCCAGGUGCGUCACGGGAAAUCCGGCCCACUUCGUUCAGGGACUUCUGGAGUUCUAGUCCUCCAACCUCUCAAAACCCUAGAACCUCCACCGGGUCCCAGCCUCGCCCCUCACCCGCUGCGGGGAUCCUCCCUUCGCGCCCGAUCCAGCUGCGCUCUUCGCUUCCGCCACCGGAGGGAGCCAUUGGCCGCCGAUCUGGGCCCAGGGUCGCUUUGCACCGUCUGAUGCCCGCUUUCUUGCCUCCCUGCAGUGUUCUCACUUCCAGCAGAAAUCCUAGAGCCUAUGAACUCUACUGAGAGCUGAGACUCCUUCUUCACUCUUUACAGAUCCCAUGAACAGCAGUACCACCUGCCAACGCGUCCUCAUAUGUAAAAUGGGCAUAAACUCGAACCUCCCUCCUAAGGCUGAAUCCUCCGGAAUCCGCCCCACUGCACGCCAGCAGUCGGAGGCCUGGGGCGUGCUGCCCACGUGACUGACGGCCGGGAAGGAAAGAUGGCGGCGACUAUGAUGGCUUCAGAGAGAGGGCAACCAACGAGAGGACGCCGCCCGCCAGAGCGUCCACACCGCCGCUUUUUCUGCGGUUGCGUCCUGGGAAGGCGCGAAUUGUGUGGCUACGGGCGGGUCGUCCUCUCCACCAUUUUUUAAUGGAAAAAAUAAUAAUUCUCAAAGACGGUUUGGUCUGACCUGCCUCCCCACCUCUUGGCAUCCGCAGGAUCGCAGGCGUGUAAAAGACGGGAUUGUGGGACUGGGCCCAGUGACUCAUGCCUGUAAUCCCAGCGCUUUGCGGGGCCAAGGCCAGAGUAUCUCUUGAGCCCAGGUGUUCGAGACCAGCCUGGGCAACAUAGCGAGCCCCCAUCUCUAUUUUUAAAAAUGGUGUAUAGAUAUAGAGGAGAUCGUGGGAUUCAGUAUCUGAGAUUUUCUACCUUGGUGUCAACGCCCCUGUCAACCUAUUAGGUGACCUCAGAGUGUUCCCCCAGCCCUCAAUUCUAGGGAUCCCAGAUCCUGGAACACACACAUGCCCCGUCUGCCCCUUCGGGACAAGGAGAUCUAAUGGCACUCUCAGAAUUAGGCCUUAAAUGCUAAUUUCCUGGAGAUCCG
rnacentral:lncRNA from 1 species